UCGGCAUGUAGCGCAGCUUGGUAGCGCACCGUCAUGGGGUGUCGGGGGUCGAAGGUUCAAAUCCUUUCAUGCCGACCAA
rnacentral:tRNA from 9 species